rnacentral:rRNA from 1 species
UGCAGUCGAGCGGUAAGGCCCUUUUGGGGGUACACGAGCGGCGAACGGGUGAGUAACACGUGGGUGACCUGCCCUUAGCUCUGGGAUAAGCCUGGGAAACUGGGUCUAAUACUGGAUAUGACUCCAUGUCGCAUGGUGUGGGGUGGAAAGCCUUGUGCGGCUAGGGAUGGGCCCGCGGCCUAUCAGCUUGUUGGUGGGGUGAUGGCCUACCAAGGCGACGACGGGUAGCCGGCCUGAGAGGGCGAUCGGCCACACUGGGACUGAGACACGGCCCAGACUCCUACGGGAGGCAGCAGUGGGGAAUUUUGCGCAAUGGGCGGAAGCCUGACGCAGCGACGCCGCGUGAGGGAUGACGGCCUUCGGGUUGUAAACCUCUUUCAGCCCUGACGAAACACUGAUGUGACGGUAGGGGUAGAAGAAGCACCGGCCAACUACGUGCCAGCAGCCGCGGUAAUACGUAGGGUGCAAGCGUUGUCCGGAAUUAUUGGGCGUAAAGAGCUCGUAGGCGGUCUGUCGCGUCCGCCGUGAAAUCCCGGGGCUCAACUCCGGGCUUGCAGUCGAUACCGGCAGGCUAGAGUUCGGCAGGGGAGACUGGAAUUCCUGGUGUACCGGUGAAAUGCGCACAUAUCUCGACGAACACCGGUGGCGAAGGAGGGACUCUGGGCCAUUACUGACGCUGAGGAGCAAAAGCGUGUGGAGCGAACAGGAUUAGAUACCCUGGUAGUCCACGCCGUACACGAUGAAUGCUAGACGUUGGCGAGCAUGCUCGUCAGUGUCGCAGCUAACGCAUUAAGCAUUCCGCCUGGGGAGUACGGUCGCAAGAUUAAAACUCAAAUGAAUUGACGGGG